CAAACCACCAAACACAACCACACCCAAAUCCUCCUCCUCUCCUCUCCCCCCGUUCAGAUUCCAAGUCCCACCAAAGCCAGCCGCCGCCGGCAUCCUCUCUUCCAACCACCGGCGGAGACCUCGUAUUGCCCAUCCCCACCGGUGACCACGCAGCGACCUCCUCCCUCUAACACCGCCGGUGCCCCCUCCCCUCUCCUUCUCUUCCUAGGGAGGCCCCAGAUCCACAUCCACUCAGCUCAAGCCAGGCCGCGGCAACCACGCACCGCGCCCUCCUGCUUCCACCCCGCUACACACCCGACGGCGGCAUCCAACCUCCACAGCGCCGCUCCCUCCCUCCCUCCAAUCUCCACCGCGCUCGAAACCCUAGCCCGCGGCCGGCCAUGGCGACCGUACGCGCCGCAGGCAGGAGGUGCAGCACACGUCUCUCCUCCAAUCGACAAGACCUCGACAAGGAGUGGUCUUCUUCUGGUUUGGUCGCAUCUAAUUCCUGCGGAUCGUCUUGAUUUGGUUGCGCUGUGCGGUCUCCUCUCACGCGCAGGUGCGGUGUCCCGGCAUGUUCUUCUUCCUCCACUGCACCGGGGUAGGUGAUAAUUUGUGGCUUUUGUGUCUAGAACGACGACAAUGACGGUUGUGUCAUGUUCGACGGCUUCCAGGCACAUGCUAAGAAGCACGCCCACCUUGUCCUGGUUCAAUCAGGAGCAACUGGUUGGAUGCCGAAGAAGCAAAGAUAUCAUUGCUGAAGCAGCGCCUUGAAAGCGCUGGAAGAGACAGUCUUAGAAGAUUAUUUAUCAUGGCUUUGUUUGAGGAGAGAUGAAGCUGGCUCCCUCUUGGUGGCAUCAGUUCCCCAAGCGCUGGAUCAUUGAUGUCCUCUGCUUGCUUCUUCUCCUUCCUACUCAGCCAGAUGGACCGUGUCACCCGAAAGUUUGAUAUUGCAAGGGCGAGAAGACUGAUGGAUGGAUCUGGUAGCGUCGCUUGGUCGUGUUCUUGUUGCUGCCGACUGGAUGCUUAUCGGUUGGUUUCAAGUGCUGCUACAAGGUCCAUCUUGGUCAAGUGAAGCUACAAGCUUCCACCAGUAACGCUACAAGCUCCAAGUCUUUCUCGGUGCGUCGGUACCUGAUACCUGUGACUAUUGAUUCAAACUGAAGAAUGACAACAUAAGGAAGGGCCAGCAGGGAGUAGUUUGUGGGAACUGUUAGAUUUAGCUGUGUUCGGCUUUUGUGGUGGAAAUGAUUUGGUAGGAUGAUAUGGAAUGUUUCAUCCAGUGUAUUGACUGACUUGGAGUGCAUGUAUACAUUUUGGAAUGAACAACACGAGAUUAUUCUUUCUGA